rnacentral:rRNA from 1 species
GACGAACGCUGGCGGCGUGCUUAACACAUGCAAGUCGAACGGAGUGGCGAACGGGAGAGUAACACGUGGGUGAUCUGCCUUGCACUUCGGGAUGAGCUUGGGAAACGGGGUCUAAUACCGGAUAGUGCAAGAUGAGCUCGCGGCCUAUCAGCUUGUGGGUGGGGUAAUGGCCUACCAAGGCGUCGACGGGUAGCCGGCCUGAGAGGGGGUACGGCGACAUUGGGACUGCGAUCCGUCCCAGACUCCUACGGGAGGCAGCAGUGGGGAAUAGUGCACAAUGGGCGGAAGCCGGAUGCAGCUACGCCGCGUGGGGGAUGAAGGCCUUCGGGUUGUAAACUCCUUUCGACAGGGACGCGGUACCUGUAUAAGAAGCACCGGCUAACUACGUGCCAGCAGCCGCGGUAAAC